rnacentral:rRNA from 1 species
GAUGAACGCUGGCGGCGUGCCUAAUACAUGCAAGUCGAGCGAACAGACGAGGAGCUUGCUCCUCUGACGUUAGCGGCGGACGGGUGAGUAACACGUGGAUAACCUACCUAUAAGACUGGGAUAACUUCGGGAAACCGGAGCUAAUACCGGAUAAUAUAUUGAACCGCAUGGUUCAAUAGUGAAAGACGGUUUUGCUGUCACUUAUAGAUGGAUCCGCGCCGCAUUAGCUAGUUGGUAAGGUAACGGCUUACCAAGGCAACGAUGCGUAGCCGACCUGAGAGGGUGUUCGGCCACAGUGGGACUGAGACACGGUCCAGACUCCUACGGAAGGCAGCGAUAGGGAAUCUUGCGCAAUGGGCGAAAUCCUGACGGAGCGGCGCCGCGUGAGUGCUGAGGGUCUUCGGAUCGUAAAACUCUGUUAUUAGGGAAGAACAAAUGUGUAAGUGACUAUGCACGUCUUGACGGUACCUAAUCAGAAAGCCACGGCUAACUACGUG